rnacentral:rRNA from 1 species
GUGGGGAAUAUUGCGCAAUGGGGGGAACCCUGACGCAGCAACGCCGCGUGAAGGAAGAAGGUUUUCGGAUCGUAAACUUUUGUCUUGAGGGACGAAACAGACGGUACCUCAGGAGGAAGCCACGGCUAACUACGUGCCAGCAGCCGCGGUAAUACGUAGGUGGCAAGCGUUGUCCGGAUUUACUGGGUGUAAAGGGCGUGUAGACGGGUCUGUAAGUCAGAUGUGAAAUGCCGGGGCUUAACCCCGGAGCUGCAUUUGAAACUAUGGAUCUUGAGUGCGGGAGAGGUAGGCGGAAUUCCUAGUGUAGCGGUGAAAUGCGUAGAUAUUAGGAGGAACACCAGUGGCGAAGGCGGCCUACUGGACCGUAACUGACGUUGAGGCGCGAAAGCGUGGGGAGCAAACAGGA